GCGCGGUUAGCUCAUAUGGUUAGAGCGCUACAUUGACAUUGUAGAGGUGACAGGUUCGAUCCCUGUAUCGCGCA
rnacentral:tRNA from 1 species